rnacentral:tRNA from 1 species
GCGUCUGUAGUGUAUGCGGCAUGCAUGCCUGCAUGUGAAGCGGGAGGUAAGGGGUCAACUCCCUUCGGACGCCC